CGGUUUCAUGAAGAGUCUGGCAGAGGGUCGACCGACGGUGGACUUCGGAUGGCGUCGGGGAGGUUCGACAAACAUCGGAGGCAAUCGGCUGUUGUAGAAUCCAGCUGCUGGAACCCAUCUGUUGUAGAAGCUCGUCCGAAAUCCAUCCGCUAUGGAAGUUCAGACGGAGUCCGAUUCUUGCAGAAGGCUGAAAGGAGACCGCUUAUUGUAGAAGCUCGG
rnacentral:lncRNA from 1 species